CAGGAAAUUCAGAAGAGUGAAUUCCAGUUUGAUACAUGGCAUCAAUAACUGACUGAACAUCAGUGUAUGGCAUCUGGAUAGGAAAUCCUGUGACCUGGAUCAAGGCCACGAACUUGUACCCUUUCUAGAUGGCAAACUACAAACAAGAAAGUUACUGGAUCCUGCCUCCACAUUUGAGUGUUUUAAGUGAGAUUUUCUUCAACAAUGUCUUGAUUUAUAUUUACUAAGUGACUAUGUGCUAGUAUUAAAGGAUUUUGGAGUAUG